rnacentral:rRNA from 1 species
UGGGGAAUUUUGGACAAUGGGGGCAACCCUGAUCCAGCUAUGCCGCGUGCGGGAAGAAGGCCUUCGGGUUGUAAACCGCUUUUAGCCGGGAAGAAAGGGCAGCACCUAAUACGGGCUGUUCUUGACGGUACCGGCGGAAUAAGCACCGGCUAACUACGUGCCAGCAGCCGCGGUAAUACGUAGGGUGCGCGCGUUAAUCGGAAUUGCUGGGCGUAAAGCGUGCGCAGGCGGUUCGUUAAGUUCGUUGUGAAAGCCCCGGGCUCAACCUAGGAACGGCAAUGGAAACUGGCGGGCUUGAAUGCGGCAGAGGGGGGUGGAAUUCCGCGUGUAGCAGUGAAAUGCGUAGAGAUGCGGAGGAACACCGAUGGCGAAGGCAGCCCCCUGGGCCGACAUUGACGCUCAGGCACGAAAGCGUGGGGAGCAAAC